rnacentral:lncRNA from 1 species
CCAACAUGGCGUACGGGUAAAGAAAGGCUUCUCAUUGGAAUUUUAACUGUUUUUAGUUCAUUAAGAGUCGUAAAUUGGAGUUUUAUAGUGUAGUAGAAUCAUAUUUCAUAACUUUAUCACAGAAGAAGCAUAGGAUUUGCUCUACAAGUUUGGAUACGCUGUGUGAUUAGGUUAAACUUUUUGUUAUUGUGUUGUCGAACUUCAGAAAGAU